UUGUGUGAAAAAAGAAAGGAAUAAAGAAAAAAUGGAGAGGAAAAUUUCUGGUCUUUUGUUUCUCCUUGUCAUUUUGUUCACUUCACAAAUGUUGAUCCGAGGGGCGGAGGGAAGAGUGUGCAUCUCGCAAAGCCAUAGGUACAAGGGUCCAUGCCUGCGUGACCACAACUGCGCUCUCGUCUGCCGUAACGAAUAUUUCUCCGGUGGAGACUGCAUUGGAUUUGGCUUUCAUAGAAAAUGCUAUUGCACUAAGUUUUGUUAAUUAAUUAUAAUUAAUUAGUGUCAUGAAAAUGACACUUAAUUAGUUCAUUAAUCCAUCACUAAGCUAGUUUUGUUUUAGGGAAUAAAAUGUAGUAGUGGUUUUAUAAAGGGCAUCACACCCCUUAGUUGUCUCUUUUCACGGAAUCUACGUGAACAUGAAAUGUUUUGUGCGUCGA